GGCACCCUAUGGGAGGCAGCAGUAGGGAAUUUUCGUCAAUGGGCGCAAGCCUGAACGAGCAAUGCCGCGUGAACGAGGAAGGUCUUCGGAUCGUAAAGUUCUGUUGAAGGGGAAAAAGAGCGGAGAGAGGAAAUGAACUCCGAUUGAUAUUACCCUUCGAGGAAGUCACGGCUAACUACGUGCAAGCAGCCGCGGUAAUACGUAGGUGGCGAGCGUUAUCCGGAAUGAUUGGGCGUAAAGGGUGCGUAGGCGGCCUGCUAAGUCUGGAGUGAAAGGUACCGGCUCAACCGGUACAGGCUCUGGAA
rnacentral:rRNA from 1 species